UUUCUUCCCUUCGUUACCCGCUUUCUCGCCUGCUCCUCUCUCCCUCUCUCUCUCUCCGUCUCUUAAUUAAAUCGACAUUCGGCCUCCUCGCUUCAACUUCCUCUGUUUCUCAAUGACAACGCUCUCUCUAAAUUCCUCCUCAAUCUCUCUCUCCUCAGCCCCUCUUUCCCAUCUCUCUCUAAAUUAUUUCGACGGCCAACCUCCUCACCUCAAUUUAUUUCAUUUUCAACACUUGACAACCGUUACUAUAAUUGGGGUUUGAGAUUGAUAGGAGUAGUAGAAAGCUACCAAGCUGUUACUGGUACAAACAAAGCUGCUUCUAGCAGCACUUCCUUGAACAUGAGAAAGCUUGUUGAGGAAAUAGAGAAUCUUACCCAGGGGAAGAGAUAGGAUCAAUGAGAGGAUGCGUGCACUUCAAGAGCUUAUACCCAAUUGCAAUAAGAUUAGCAAAACUAUCUGAAGGUCAGCUAAUUGAUGGACCCAGUUAUGAAGUUUCUCCCUAAAUGGUUCUUCCAUCAAAAUAUAUGCAUGGUCCUGGAACAAGACAUGAGAUUCCUUUCAUCUCAAAAUGAAAUCCUAAUGAAGGAAAUGACUCCUGUUGGUAAAAUGUAUAUUAAUCUUGGGUCAUGUGACACUUGGGUCUUGGAGUAUCGAAAGUGGAAGGAUAGAGUAGGGCAUGGGAUGCCAUACUAUUUUGGGCAUAGUUCAAUCUCAUUGCCAAAUGAUCUAGCUCUUGUUGAGCAAUACAGAGCUGGACUUGAUGCGGGGAUUUUAGCUUCUGUGCCUGCAAAAGGGGGAAACGCAGAUAUUUAUGCCUCAAAUCCAAUAAACUAAUAUUUCAGACACCUCAUUGUAAAAAGUGUAUAAUAAAGCUAUGUUUUCAAUCUAUCAUGUUGAUUCUUUUUUACUCUCAUUGUAUGUAUAUCGUCAUGCUAAUUGAAUACUUUGCUGGUUUGUAAUAUGAUGCUGAAUAUUAAUUAUUUGCAGUUAAAAUCAA